rnacentral:rRNA from 1 species
UACGAAGGGGGCGAGCGUUGUCCGGAAUCAUUGGGCGUAAAGAGCGCGUAGGCGGCCAGAUAAGUCCGGUGUGAAAGUCACAGGCUCAACCUGUGAAUGCCGCUGGAAACUGUCUGGCUAGAGUCCGGGAGGGGCGAGUGGAAUUCCUGGUGUAGCGGUGAAAUGCGCAGAUAUCUGGAGGAACAUCGGUGGCGAAGGCGGCAUCCUGGACCGGUAUUGACGCUGAGGCGCGAAAGCCAGGGGAGCAAACGGG